GCCUAGAUAGCUCAGCUGGCUAGAGAGUGGUGCUGAUAAUGCCAAGGUUGCAGGUUUGAUCCCUGCGUGGGACA